rnacentral:rRNA from 1 species
UACGUAGGGUCCGAGCGUUGUCCGGAAUUAUUGGGCGUAAAGAGCUCGUAGGCAGUUUGUCGCGUCUGCUGUGAAAUCCCGAGGCUCAACCUCGGGUCUGCAGUGGGUACGGGCAGACUGGAGUGCGGUAGGGGAGAAUGGAAUUCCUGGUGUAGCGGUGGAAUGCGCAGAUAUCAGGAGGAACACCGAUGGCGAAGGCAGUUCUCUGGGCCGUAACUGACGCUGAGGAGCGAAAGCGUGGGGAGCGAACAGG